GAUCAUGUUGUUUCGUUUAUGCAGGUAUGAUGAACCGAUGUCCCGCGGGCCGACCCGCAAAGCCCAAGUACUAUGCGGGGCGGGAUUGGUCAGCCCUCGACAAGACCGCAUCCCGCGCGGGCCUGUCCCGCUGAGACCCGUUUGAACUGAAGACCGCGGCGGGGCGGGACGGGACGGGACGGGAAGACCCAAUUGCCAUCUCUAUUAGCAAGUAGCUGUAUAACCAAAUCAAUGAGUUGUAUAUUUAACUGUCCGCCGCCGGCCACAAACGGCACUGUUUUUAAAUAUAUUUUUUUGUCAACUUUUUUUUUUUUGU
rnacentral:lncRNA from 1 species